rnacentral:rRNA from 1 species
UACGGAGGAUCCGAGCGUUAUCCGGAUUUAUUGGGUUUAAAGGGUGCGUAGGCGGCCUUGUAAGUCAGGGGUGAAAUCCCUCGGCUUAACCGGGGAACUGCAUCUGAUACUGGAUGGCUUGAGUUCGGGAGAGGGAUGCGGAAUUCCAGGUGUAGCGGUGAAAUGCGUAGAUAUCUGGAGGAACACGGGUGGCGAAGGCGGCAUCCUGGACCGGCACUGACGCUGAGGAGCGAAAGCCAGGGGAGCAAACGGG